AUACUUACCUGGCAGGGGAGAUACCAUGAUCAAGAAGGUGGUUCCACUCCAGGGUGAGGCUCGUCCAUUGCACUUCCCGGAUGUGCUGACCCCUGCGAAUUCCCCAAUGUGGGAAUCUCGACUGCAUAAUUUCUGGUAGUGGGGACCUGCCGUUCGCGCUCCGUCCCUG
ensembl:snRNA U1 U1 spliceosomal RNA